UAUCUCAUAUAAAUAUAGGGCAAUCUGUGAUUACAUGGUCUUUCACAAUGUUUCUGGUGAUCAAAACUGAAACAAUCUGACUGGAAGAAAACAUGGCCAGCAUAUGUGGUAAAAACAUUUAGAGAAUCCCAAUCAUCUCAGUUCAAUAGCAGAACGAAAGUGAGGAGUGAUUUAAUAAUGUAAACCACUCUUUAAUAGAAUCACAGAAUUGUUACAGUGUAGAAGGAGGCCAUUCGAAACAUCAUGUCUACUUUCUUGAUCAGAAAACCAAAGGAUAACCACCCAGUAAAUGGAAUAAGCUUCGUGGGCUGAACAACAUUUUCAUAAUGUUACCAUCAACAUGAAGGCAUGAACUUCCUGAUUUUCUUGUAUGACAGGAGGCAGCAACACAAAAUACUUCUCAACAGCAAGAGGCCCCUAUAGAAGAUACAUCAGAGGAAGACAGUCCUUGUAAGGAGGGACUGUAAAACACUUCAUCCCACCCAAGAGCCAGAUCAGACAUCGGCACUCUUUGAGGUAGAUACUGAGCCAGAGGGGGUUUUCAUGUGGUAAAAUACCCAGAAUGAGUGGAUAGCAGCAGGGAAUGGUGACAAAAACAGCACAGGAGAGCGUUCUCCAGAAGGUGAGGCUCUCUCCCAACUCUGUCCUGUAGGGGACAGAAAUGGGGACUCCAUGGCCCAAUCAUGACAGGAACAUUGCUGGCCUCAUUGAGGUAUUAGAACCCAAACCAGGGAGUUUCAUCACUAUGGUUGACAGCGUGGAGGAGUCUGUUUACAAUCUGAUAUCAUCUCCCAGGACAUCAUGACUAUACAGUUCACACUGGAAAGUCUGUGCAUCUCCAGAAUUGUUGCAGCUGCAUAAGCAAUUAAUGUUCAUCUUGCAGCAUUGGUGGAAGCCCAAAAAGCUGCAAUUGAAGACUCUGUGCCUCACAAAAAGGAGACCGGUGGAUUGACAUAAUAGGGAUUUGGAAGAAGUCUUCCAACUUAUGCACUCUGCUAUCUAAUAGUUUUGAAAGAUCAUGACUAAAGCAUCUACAGUUCCUCAGUGACUUUUUUUAAUACACUGGGAAAAUCAUUAGGUCCGAGAAAUGUGUCCAUCCUUAUUUUAUUUUCUGUCCUUUUAUUUUCUCUAUUCAUUUUUUUAAACUUACGUUAAAUCUAGUCAGUUUUUUUAAACUUAUAUUAAAUUUAGUCAGUUUUGCCAAUUGGUUUAUUUUUAGCUCUCUUCAUAUCUUGAUCCACAUCCUCCACUGUGAAGCCUAAUACAAUGUAAAUAUUUAACAAAUCUCCCUUUUUGAUCUUCAAUUACAAUACCUGCAUCUGUUUUGGUCAUUUCUCUUAGCCACCCUUUUUCUAUUAAUAUACUUACAAAAACCUUUAAUGCUGGCUUUGAUAUUCCUUGCAAUUGUUUUCUCAUGCUCUGUCUGUGCAGUCCAUAUUACUUUCUUUGUAUCCUUUUGCUGUUUUUUUGCAUCACUCCAUGUCUAAAGGAUCUCUACCGAGUUAUUACUUUCUUCUAGUGUUAGUAAGGAAAGCUAUGAACAACAUACCCUAGUCUCCUCUGCAUAUAUUAGUGGAGAUGAAAAUUUUGGAAUGAUUUAAGGAUCAAUUAGAUGCUCCAAUGGGAGGUUUUUAGGGUUACUCUAGCCAAAUGAAUUAAGAGGUGCUGAAUGGCCUCCUUCAUUGUAAAUUAACUUGUGCCUCUUGUAUCUUGACUAUUGUGUAUGUCAAAUCUAAUAAUGUCAUAAUCUCCCAGAGCCUUAUAAAUCCAAUGGUAAAAUGCUUCCAUGUUUUACUUUGCUUUUGCCAAAUUUUCAUUCUUUGAAUUGUGAAAAGGUCUUUUAACUUUAAUGUAACAUUUCCCAGAUCUUCAAUGCUUCACAAGAGUUAUUAAUUUGAGAUCUCCUUGAAAAUGGUCAUGAACUAUCUUUCUUCUUAACCCAAAACAACUGGAUGGUAAUUUUUAUCCUACUCCAUAGUUUAUGGAACUAACAAUAUUAAUAAAGGCAUUGUUCAAAA